UGAGGGAGAGGCAGAUGGAAUUGGUGGUGUAGGGGUAAAAUCCGUAGAUAUCACCAAGAAUACCCAUUGCGAAGGCGAUCUGCUGGAACUCAACUGACGCUAAGGCGCGAAAGCGUGGGGAGCAAACAGGAUUAGAUACCCUGGUAGUCCACGCCCUAAACGAUGUACACUAGUUGUUGGGAUGCUAGUCAUCUCAGUAAUGCAGCUAACGCAUUAAGUGUACCGCCUGGGGAGUACGGUCGCAAGAUUAAAACUCAAAGGAAUAGACGGGGACCCGCACAAGCGGUGGAGCAUGUGGUUUAAUUCGAAGAUACGCGAAGAACCUUACCUGGGCUUGAUAUCCUAAGAACCUUAUAGAGAUAUGAGGGUGCUAGCUUGCUAGAACUUAGAGACAGGUGCUGCACGGCUGUCGUCAGCUCGUGUCGUGAGAUGUUGGGUUAAGUCCCGCAACGAGCGCAACCCACGUAUUUAGUUGCUAACGGUUCGGCCGAGCACUCUAAAUAGACUGCCUUCGUAAGGAGGAGGAAGGUGUGGACGACGUCAAGUCAUCAUGGCCCUUAUGCCCAGGGCGACACACGUGCUACAAUGGCAUAUACAAUGAGACGCAAUACCGCGAGGUGGAGCAAAUCUAUAAAAUAUGUCCCAGUUCGGAUUGUUCUCUGCAACUCGAGAGCAUGAAGCCGGAAUCGCUAGUAAUCGUAGAUCAGCCAUGCUACGGUGAAUACGUUCCCGGGUCUUGUACUCACCGCCCGUCACACCAUGGGAGUUGAUUUCACUCGAAGCCGGAAUACUAAACUAGUUACCGUCCACAGUGGAAUCAGCGACU
rnacentral:rRNA from 1 species